rnacentral:tRNA from 1 species
GUUUAAAUAGUUUUAAAAAAACACAGAUCUUGUAAAUCUAAAUUUAAUAACAUUAUUAUAUAAAC